AUACUUUGGUAGCACAUACACAAAAGUGUCAAUGAGACAAGAUUAGAAUGGCCCUUUUGCAAAGAUGAUAUGCAAAAUCAUGAAAUGUUCCAUUUUUUU
rnacentral:snRNA from 1 species